GUUGGGUAGGGGAGCGUUCUGUAAGCCUGUGAAGGUGGCCUGUGAGGGUUGCUGGAGGUAUCAGAAGUGCGAAUGCUGACAUAAGUAACGAUAAAGCGGGUGAAAAGCCCGCUCGCCGGAAGACCAAGGGUUCCUGUCCAACGUUAAUCGGGGCAGGGUGAGUCGACCCCUAAGGCGAGGCCGAAAGGCGUAGUCGAUGGGAAACGGGUUAAUAUUCCCGUACUUGGUGUUACUGCGAAGGGGGGACGGAGAAGGCUAUGUUGGCCGGGCGACGGUUGUCCCGGUUUAAGCGUGUAGGCUGGUUUUCCAGGCAAAUCCGGAAAAUCAAGGCUGAGGCGUGACGACGAGGCACUACGGUGCUGAAGCAACAAAUGCCCUGCUUCCAGGAAAAGCCUCUAAGCAUCAGGUAACAUCAAAUCGUACCCCAAACCGACACAGGUGGUCAGGUAGAGAAUACCAAGGCGCUUGAGAGAACUCGGGUGAAGGAACUAGGCAAAAUGGUGCCGUAACUUCGGGAGAAGGCACGCUGACACGUAGGUGAAGUGAUUUACUCAUGGAGCUGAAGUCAGUCGAAGAUACCAGCUGGCUGCAACUGUUUAUUAAAAACACAGCACUGUGCAAACACGAAAGUGGACGUAUACGGUGUGACGCCUGCCCGGUGCCGGAAGGUUAAUUGAUGGGGUCAGCGCAAGCGAAGCUCCUGAUCGAAGCCCCGGUAAACGGCGGCCGUAACUAUAACGGUCCUAAGGUAGCGAAAUUCCUUGUCGGGUAAGUUCCGACCUGCACGAAUGGCGUAAUGAUGGCCAGGCUGUCUCCACCCGAGACUCAGUGAAAUUGAACUCGCUGUGAAGAUGCAGUGUACCCGCGGCAAGACGGAAAGACCCCGUGAACCUUUACUAUAGCUUGACACUGAACAUUGAGCCUUGAUGUGUAGGAUAGGUGGGAGGCUUUGAAGUGUGGACGCCAGUCUGCAUGGAGCCGACCUUGAAAUACCACCCUUUAAUGUUUGAUGUUCUAACGUGGACCCGUAAUCCGGGUUGCGGACAGUGUCUGGUGGGUAGUUUGACUGGGGCGGUCUCCUCCUAAAGAGUAACGGAGGAGCACGAAGGUUGGCUAAUCCUGGUCGGACAUCAGGAGGUUAGUGCAAUGGCAUAAGCCAGCUUGACUGCGAGCGUGACGGCGCGAGCAGGUGCGAAAGCAGGUCAUAGUGAUCCGGUGGUUCUGAAUGGAAGGGCCAUCGCUCAACGGAUAAAAGGUACUCCGGGGAUAACAGGCUGAUACCGCCCAAGAGUUCAUAUCGACGGCGGUGUUUGGCACCUCGAUGUCGGCUCAUCACAUCCUGGGGCUGAAGUAGGUCCCAAGGGUAUGGCUGUUCGCCAUUUAAAGUGGUACGCGAGCUGGGUUUAGAACGUCGUGAGACAGUUCGGUCCCUAUCUGCCGUGGGCGCUGGAGAACUGAGGGGGGCUGCUCCUAGUACGAGAGGACCGGAGUGGACGCAUCACUGGUGUUCGGGUUGUCAUGCCAAUGGCACUGCCCGGUAGCUAAAUGCGGAAGAGAUAAGUGCUGAAAGCAUCUAAGCACGAAACUUGCCCCGAGAUGAGUUCUCCCUGAGACUUAGAGUCUCCUGAAGGAACGUUGAAGACGACGACGUUGAUAGGCCGGGUGUGUAAGCGCAGCGAUGCGUUGAGCUAACCGGU
rnacentral:rRNA from 1 species